rnacentral:lncRNA from 1 species
AUGAACUUCUUGAAAAAUUUCUAGGAAAAAAUAAUACUUGGCAGAAGUGAAGAGCUAAUUACAUGGAUAACCACUUUACCUUGGUGGCAAUCAACUGUGUGACUUUGUUGACAAUCUUUAAACAAUCUACUGCCCCCUGAAGAAAAUUUAAGAAUGACAGUGAUUUAAAUAAGGAUUACUGAGGACCCUGAAGGUACAGAACAGAUAUUGCCUACACAUAGAAGAAUGUUUAACACAGAACAGCCAUGACCGCACAUUGGAAAAAAGACUUAAAUGAAAACAGCAGUAAUUUCUCUUAAACUCUGCCAGAAAGCUG